UUAGGGUCAGUACAUCACUGUUAUAUAUCAGUUUAGGGUGAGUACACCACUGUUAUAUAUCAGGUUAGGGUGAGUACAUCACUGUUAUAUAUCAGGUUAGGAUGAGUACAUCACAGUUAUACAUCAGGUUAGGGUCAGUACAUCACUGUUAUAUAUCAGGUUAGGGUGAGUACACCACUGUUAUAUAUCAGGUUAAGGUGAGUACACCACAGUUAUUUAUCAUGUUAGGGUGAGUACGUCACUGUUACAUAUCAGGUUAGGGUGAGUACAUCACAGUUAUAUAUCAGGUUAGGGUGAGUAAAUCACAGUUAUAUAUCAGGUUAGGGUGUGUACAUCACUGUUACAAGUCAGGUUAGGGUGAGUACAUCACAGUUAUAUAUCAGGUUAGGGUGUGUACAUCACUGUUACAUAUCAGGUUCGGGUGAGUACAUCACAGUUAUAUAUCAGGUUAGGGUCAGUACAUCACAAUUAUAUAUCAGGUUUGGGUGAGUACAUCACUGUUAUAUAUCAGGUUAGGGUGAGUACACCACAGUUAUAUAUCAGGUUAGGGUGAGUACGUCACUGUUAUAUAUCAGGUUAGGGUGAGUACGUCACUGUUAUAUAUCAGGUUAGGGUGAGUACGUCACUGUUAUAUAUCAGGUUAGGG